GAAUUUCUUAAAAUAAUAAUGUAUGGAUAUCAUUUGGAAAGUGACAUGAAAUGUUGUUAAAAAGUGAUGCAUACAAGUGUUUCAGAAGUCUGUCUAGGAAUAGAACAACAACUGAAGCUGACCAGUUGAUGGAAGAUACUGCAGAGUUUGGCAGGGAAAUAACCCAAGACAGCAAAGCGGCUCUUUUGGCGCAUUUACCAAGAGGACUAACAUGGCCACAAAUUCAUGAGAUCAUGCAGGAGCCGUACAGUAUAACAGCAGUACAAGUUCUAUAAAAGAUCCACGACCUACUGAAGCCCAGCUAAUUAACAAAAAAGUUUUUAAAAACUGUAAUUUUAUCCCACCUGGGUACUUAUAAUUUACUAAGCUGCCUUCACAAGUUUUAGACUUGCAAUUAUAUUUUAAACUGUCACUUGGAAAGUAAUACAUGUACAUGCAUUAUGUUCUGAAUUUCUUUGAACAAUAAAAUUAUAUAAAAGUAUUUUAAUGAAAUUGAGCACCUAAAUUGCAUUAAAUUGAAAGUAGCUGAGAAAAAUAGUAUCCUUGUGCUCAUGGGCAGCUACAUAUAUUGUGACAAACAUGAAGUAGCUAAAAUAACUUAAAUUUUUCAUUUUGUUUCUUGUAUAUUGUUUGUACAGGGUUCGUGAAUUGUUACUGUAUAUUACUUGACUUGCUUGUAUUUUGUUACUUUGAAUACAUGUUGUUAAGGUUGCAUUAUACUUUUUAACUUUUAAAGUAGCGCCUGCUCUGUUAUGUAAGGGCCUGAUUUAUGAUAAU